rnacentral:misc_RNA from 1 species
GCAGAAUCUAACAAAAAGCUAGAAGGAAUAUGGAUUGAGGAACCAAGUUGGUAGGAGAAAAUCGAGAAAAGCAGGCCACCUGUGGAUUUUUCUGGUAACAAAUCACAGCAGGUGCACUAAAGAUGAUAUAAAAAGGAACCAAGAAGAAAGAGAGAGACGCGAGGAAUUUCAACCAAUGGAUUAUUGUUGGGGCAGGAGUCAUCAUUCAUGCGGUAAUUCUGUUUCUUGGUUCAUUUUAUUUGUACUGAAUCAGUAACCUAAUGAGUUUCAAUUAUUGCUUUAUGUUGAAGGG